rnacentral:rRNA from 1 species
UGGGGAAUAUUGCACAAUGGGCGCAAGCCUGAUGCAGCCAUGCCGCGUGUGUGAAGAAGGCCUUCGGGUUGUAAAGCACUUUCAGCGAGGAGGAAGGUGGGUGGACUUAAUACGUUCAUCAAUUGACGUUACUCGCAGAAGAAGCACCGGCUAACUCCGUGCCAGCAGCCGCGGUAAUACGGAGGGUGCAAGCGUUAAUCGGAAUUACUGGGCGUAAAGCGCACGCAGGCGGUUUGUUAAGUCAGAUGUGAAAUCCCCGGGCUCAACCUGGGAACUGCAUUUGAAACUGGCAAGCUAGAGUCUCGUAGAGGGGGGUAGAAUUCCAGGUGUAGCGGUGAAAUGCGUAGAGAUCUGGAGGAAUACGGUGGCGAAGGCGGCCCCCUGGACGAAGACUGACGCUCAGG